GGCAUGGUAGGGCAUCAGCCAAAAACAUUCUUUUCUGCCCGCAAAUGGCUUCCUCUUCCUUCGCCUCCAUUUCGAAGCGCCUGAUCUCGCGCUCUCUGGUUCUUCCUCGCCGCCAGCAACUCUUCCUCGGCGCCGCUUCUGCCCGCUCCUACUCCACUUCGCUAUCUUUCGAUCCGGGAACCCCAGACGAUUCUGCCCCCCAGCGGCGCGUCCCCUUCCAGCGCCCCCUCGAAAACAGCCUCGAUCAAGGCGUUUACAAGGGGAUUCUUGUGGGGGAAGGUUGGGCAGAAUCCGGUGCAGAAGUAUCUCAGAAGUGGACGCGCUGUGGUGCUCUUUUCGCUGGGAACGGGAGGAAUCCAGAAUAAUCGACGCUUCCUUGAGGCCUUGACAAUGAGGAACCGAGAGAUUACACCGAUCGAUUUUCUGUGCAGUGGCACAGGGUCUGUGUGUACCCAGAUCGGCUCGGCAACCUAGCUCUCAAGCAUGUCAAGCCAGGGUUAGAUGAUGAUGAUAUUAUCUUAUACUGUUCUGAUUACAAUCAAGUUUAUUUGGCAUCGUGAAGGAGUCGUCUGAACUUUUAACUAUCAAUCUUGUAUGUGGAGGGAAACCUUGGGACUAAAGUUUUCACCUGGUUUAGUUAGACGAUUAAGAGAAAUUGCCAUUCGACGAGAUGGUCGUCUUCUGUUUCUGAAUCAUGGUAACACAGCUGCUGAAUCAGAGGCGCCUAAAAAUGUUGAUUAUUACUGAGAAGCAUGAUCUGGAUUCACCGAUCUGGAUUCACCACUCCAGGUGCAAAAAGCUUUAGGAACAUUGUCUAGCAGAUGGCUGGGAAAUAGCUACCGAAGUCGGCAUUCCAGGGCUAACUCGCCUUCUUGUUGAUGCGUGCUAUAACUCAGCAGAUGAUUUUUGCUCUAGGUUCCACUGUUUCAGGAAAUUGUGAUCCUUGCCUCGUUUCAAAAAUACUUUCCCAGACUUUGAUCUAGAGUUCUUUACUCCAUUCAAAUAAUAUUUUAUAAAAUUGUGAUAUUUGCCUGUGUUUUAACCUCCAUUCUUGAUCCCUUUCAAGCAUUGGUCGCUCAUCAGAUGAUCUAUAUCAUUGAAAAGAUCGAUGCCUCAGUGAUUCUUAAGAGACCUAGCUCUUGCUAAGCUUUCUCCAGCUGGUGUUGCUUGCGAGCUUCCUUUCUAUUUCUCUGAGCUGCUGAAAAACAAAGUGCUUUCUGCUAGGGAAUCUGAAGCUGUUGGACGCCGGACAAACAGUGGCCGUGGAGCCUAUUUAUGAGGUAAAGGGAGUGAGUGGCAAAUGACAGGGCGGGAAGAGCCAUUGAUGCUCUUUUGUGGUCCAAGAUUCUUGCACAUCAUGAACCAUGGCCAUUAAAAGCUUUGAGGACGCUGCCAAUCAAGCAAUCAGGCCUCUGGAGAUCAAUGCCAAAAUACUUCGGGAACCUACUCUUUGAAUUUCUCUGUUCUUUGUUUUCUUCUGACUGUACAUGUUAGCAAAAGUUUAGCCAGUCACCAUUUUGGAAGCCAAUUGACUUCUUUCCUGUUUGCAGUAACAAGUGAGAUUCUUUGCUCCACCAUCACAUCAAAGAAGAAAGGGAAGAACAUGAAUCAGAUCUUGUUUUGGUAAGUAAAUUGUAUCUAAUUCCUGUGUUUCAUGUGUGUUUUGCAGUGUCAAAAAGGUCACUCUUUUUGUGAUUAAAGAGACGUUAGAUCGAGCUACAGCAGAGGGCAGAGGCUUGUCCCCCGAGGGCUCCUCAAUCUGCGUGCAGCUCGCCAAUUCAAAGCGCAGCGCACGCUCCUGCCUUCGCCACGGACACGAUCAAAAAUAAAGCUUCAAACGAGGCCCACCUUCUCCCGUCUCCUUCAUCCUCCUCCUCCUCUAUAAAAGGCCCCAAGGCACCGUCCAAGAGGCCGUCAAAGGCCAAACGGGAAGAAUGAUCUUCUCCUCCGGAGGAAACCAGAAACAGGCGAGGAGGAAGCAGAGAAAGGCGUCUCCGCCGCCGCAGCAGCAGCAGCAGCGGAGGCUGAGCCAGGCCCUGCCGGAGCAGAAGGCGAAGCUUUACAUCAUCUACCGGUGCAUCGUCAUGCUCCUCUGCUGCCACGACUGACUUCUUUUUUAUUAUGUCGAAGACUAAUUUCUCGACACGAGAGAUCACAAUUCGGCGACUCCAUCUGCAUCUUGCUGGCGACGAACGAUGAUUCUGGAGUUGACUGUGCGUGGGGAGGAGAAAACGGGGACUGUAAAUCCACUGUUGUCUGCUUCGGUAUGUGAUGUUUCGUUUACGGAAUCAUGAUGGUGAUCAUGACGAGGAUGAUUAAAUUUCACCUGAAUCUUGUUCAGGUGAAUUAAAAACGAUAUUAUGGUCUUCAUAGGAGUUAGAUCCCUUUCACCACAUCAUAUGACAUAUUUAAGUUUUUUUUAAUAUUAGAUUUUCAAUUUAAUA